rnacentral:rRNA from 1 species
GAUGAACGCUGGCGGCGUGCCUAAUACAUGCAAGUCGAGCGAACGGACGAGAAGCUUGCUUCUCUGAUGUUAGCGGCGGACGGGUGAGUAACACGUGGAUAACCUACCUAUAAGACUGGGAUAACUUCGGGAAACCGGAGCUAAUACCGGAUAAUAUUUUGAACCGCAUGGUUCAAAAGUGAAAGACGGUCUUGCUGUCACUUAUAGAUGGAUCCGCGCUGCAUUAGCUAGUUGGUAAGGUAACGGCUUACCAAGGCAACGAUGCAUAGCCGACCUGAGAGGGUGAGCGGCCACACUGGAACUGAGACACGGUCCAGACUCCUACGGGAGGCAGCAGUAGGGAAUCUUCCGCAAUGGGCGAAAGCCUGACGGAGCAACGCCGCGUGAGUGAUGAAGGUCUUCGGAUCGUAAAACUCUGUUAUUAGGGAAGAACAUAUGUGUAAGUAACUGCGCACAUCUUGACGGUACCUAAUCAGAAAGCCACGGCUAACUACGUG